UCAUAAUCUCACAGUAUCCUUCAUGUUCAACCUGUUUCAGAACUUCUUACCAUUGUCGACCAGAACAGCGGUAGACCUGGCCACCGCAGAGAGCAAAGCCAACACAAAGGCCUGAGCAAAUAGCCAAAGCAACUGAAUGUCAAGAUGAUGUCUAUAUUUCAUGUGCAUUAAGUGAAUGGGGAAAGUUUCUCUGUGGAUACCUCUUCUGCUUUUUAAUAAAUUCUUUCUUUUGCCUGAAGAGAAUUAGAAGCUGGCUUUUGACCUCCAUUAAUUUUUUUAAUUUAAUAGUUCUCUGCAUGCAUUAAUAAAUAUUAUUAACCAUACUUUGUACUGCAAUGUUUCCAUUUCCUCUUCCCCCGAUGCUUUCUCAUUUGCUGCA
rnacentral:lncRNA from 1 species